rnacentral:tRNA from 2 species
GGGGAUGUAGCUCAGCAGUAGAGCACUCACCUAGCAUGUGGGAGGCCCUGGGUUUAAUUCCCAGCACCCCCA